CCAUAUAAACAGGGCAGUUCUGAUGCUGAGGGGUGAGGUAACAACAUUGCCUGGUCAGAGGGCUGCUGGUGUCAUCUGGAGCUUGAAAAGCAUUACUGUACAUCUCGCUACAGAGAGACAAACAUGUGCACUUCAGGCAAAUAGUGAUGGACAUGAAACUUCAACAGAGCAGCCAAAGAAACAGCCUGCCAAGCUAACAGAAGCUGCCUACAGCCAAGCUGUGCGCUUUCUAAAUGGGUGACUUGCCUUCCUCAAAAACAUGCUGAGCUUCUUGCCCAAGGCUGGACAGGUCAGUAAGAGUGUGUUCUUCUCUGCAGAAUGUUCAUUUGAAAUGGGGCUAGAAGAGCCCAGGGGGGUUAUCUUUUGGUGGCUCAUCAAGCCACCAAAAAGCUUGAAGUGCUCCUGGGUGCUCAAAGUGUCCCCACAAGGCAAGCAAAGCUUGUAGUAAAGCACCUGUCAGAACUACAAAGCAGAGUUCCUUGGGAUUUAUGAAGAGAGCCAGAAAGGAAGAAAAGUGCUAGGUAACCCAUACUCUGAUGCCAUACUAUUCUCCAAAUGUAUUUAUACUUGGAAGCCUCUAAAACUGGCCAGAAGCCAAUCAAAUAGCUUGGAAACAUCGCGGUCUAAUAUUAAACAAAAUA